rnacentral:rRNA from 1 species
AACCGGGAUUGCCUUAGUAACGGCGAGUGAAGCGGCAAAAGCUCAAAUUUGAAAUCUGGCGUCUUCGACGUCCGAGUUGUAAUUUGAAGAAGGCAACUUUGUAGCUGGUCCUUGUCUAUGUUCCUUGGAACAGGACGUCAUAGAGGGUGAGAAUCCCGUGUGGCGAGGAUCCCAGUUAUUUGUAAAGUGCUUUCGACGAGUCGAGUUGUUUGGGAAUGCAGCUCUAAGUGGGUGGUAAAUUCCAUCUAAAGCUAAAUAUUGGCGAGAGACCGAUAGCGAACAAGUACAGUGAUGGAAAGAUGAAAAGAACUUUGAAAAGAGAGUGAAAAAGUACGUGAAAUUGUUGAAAGGGAAGGGCAUUUGAUCAGACAUGGCGUUUGCUUCGGCUUUCGCUGGGCCAGCAUCAGUUUUAGCGGUUGGAUAAAUCCUCGGGAAUGUGGCUCUGCUUCGGUAGAGUGUUAUAGCCCGUGGGAAUACAGCCAGCUGGGACUGAGGAUUGCGACUUUUGUCAAGGAUGCUGGCGUAAUGGUUAAAUGCCGCC